GUAGCUAAUACCGCAUAAUGUCGCAAGACCAAAGAGGGGGACCUUCGGGCCUCUUGCCAUCAGAUGUGCCCAGAUGGGAUUAGCUAGUAGGUGGGGUAACGGCUCACCUAGGCGACGAUCCCUAGCUGGUCUGAGAGGAUGACCAGCCACACUGGAACUGAGACACGGUCCAGACUCCUACGGGAGGCAGCAGUGGGGAAUAUUGCACAAUGGGCGCAAGCCUGAUGCAGCCAUGCCGCGUGUAUGAAGAAGGCCUUCGGGUUGUAAAGUACUUUCAGCGGGGAGGAAGGUGGUGAGGUUAAUAACCUCAGCAAUUGACGUUACCCGCAGAAGAAGCACCGGCUAACUCCGUGCCAGCAGCCGCGGUAAUACGGAGGGUGCAAGCGUUAAUCGGAAUUACUGGGCGUAAAGCGCACGCAGGCGGUCUGUCAAGUCGGAUGUGAAAUCCCCGGGCUCAACCUGGGAACUGCAUUCGAAACUGGCAGGCUAGAGUCUUGUAGAGGGGGGUAGAAUUCCAGGUGUAGCGGUGAAAUGCGUAGAGAUCUGGAGGAAUACCGGUGGCGAAGGCGGCCCCCUGGACAAAGACUGACGCUCAGGUGCGAAAGCGUGGGGAGCAAACAUGGAUUAGAUACCCUGGUAGUCCACGCCGUAAACGAUGUCGACUGCGAGGUUGUGCCCUUGAGGCGUGGCUUCCGGAGCUAACGCGUUAAGUCGACCGCCUGGGGAGUACGGCCGCAAGGUUAAAACUCAAAUGAAUUGACGGGGGCCCGCACAAGCGGUGGAGCAUGUGGUUUAAUUCGAUGCAACGCGAAGAACCUUACCUACUCUUGACAUCCAGAGAACUUUCCAGAGAUGGAUUGGUGCCUUCGGGAACUCUGAGACAGGUGCUGCAUGGCUGUCGUCAGCUCGUGUUGUGAAAUGUUGGGUUAAGUCCCGCAACGAGCGCAACCCUUAUCCUUUGUUGCCAGCGGUUAGGCCGGGAACUCAAAGGAGACUGCCAGUGAUAAACUGGAGGAAGGUGGGGAUGACGUCAAGUCAUCAUGGCCCUUACGAGUAGGGCUACACACGUGCUACAAUGGCGCAUACAAAGAGAAGCGACCUCGCGAGAGCAAGCGGACCUCAUAAAGUGCGUCGUAGUCCGGAUUGGAGUCUGCAACUCGACUCCAUGAAGUCGGAAUCGCUAGUAAUCGUAGAUCAGAAUGCUACGGUGAAUACGUUCCCGGGCCUUGUACACACCGA
rnacentral:rRNA from 1 species